UCCGGGAGCUCUGGGAUCGCGGUCGGACGUCUGCCUGUGCGCGCGUUUGCGCGACGUGGAAGCGCGAAGCCUUCCAGGUCACGGACACUGCGGACAUUGACUUUAGAGUGAAGUUCUACCAAAGGGAAAACACGUCAACUGAGACUUGCCCAUCAAACAAUGCGCAAGAAGAGCAGCCGCCGGAAUUCCCUUUGAGAGAGGCGGCGUGAACUCACAGGUGACGCCGAGGGCGAGGAGAGCGGCUGCCAGGAGGGCACCGAGGACCAGCAGGGCCACUCUCUCCACCGGGACCUUCGAUCGCCCACUUGUCACCGCUGCGGGCAGCAGAAGAGACAGACAGGGCCGUUUACUUACACCUGGGUGUCCGGGCAAGACUGACUUCUCUCCACUAAACCGAUUUCCGAGACUCUGUUUAAAUUACAAAACCCGGUUUUGUGUAACUGGAGCAGUCCCGCUCGCGCGGUUUCCUGGCUUGGCCCUGCACACUGACAUACAACAGUCCGGCCAUGGAGCCUCCCUUCGUGAGGGUCACAAUCUUCCGUUUGUGCUGAAAGUGUCUUAGAGAGGCGUUGAUUCGACCGCGUGAUGUGGUGCUGUUGAAUGUAUUGCAAGACCGUUGUGUCAGGCUGCAUUAGUUUUAGCUGAGUGUACCUAAUAAAUUGCCACCAGGGCGUAUAUGCAAGA